rnacentral:lncRNA from 1 species
AAUCAAGGACGAAUAUUAAAACACUGAAAAACUUUUUAAACAUUGUUAGAAAAAUAUAGACUUAAAUAUUCCUAUUUUAAAAUUAAGAAUAAUUUUCAUUGCAUAAAAUAUAAUAUACAGCUUCCAAAUUGUCAGGGGGGAAACUGGAAGGAAAAAAAUAAGCGUAAACAGAAAAUACAAUAGAAUGAUAGAAACAAGAUAUCAUUGUUUGCAAUAGCAUAAGACAAUAAACAAUAUAGAAAUCACCAAAAGGAGAAUAGACCAAUGAAUGUUUGUUCAAUUGUUCAAUGGUAAGCAACAGAUUAUGUCAUGUGAAUGAGCUGUAAUAUCUAUUAGUGGUCUGUAGUUGGAAGAAAAAGCAAGUUGAAAGGCCUACACUUGGUAUGAUAAAAUUUAUCUAAAUUUCUAAAGUCUGAAAAAAUGGGAGGAGAAGGGGAAAGGAGAAGUGAAAUUAACCAAAACUCAACAAACUUGUAUAAAAGUAAUACUUUCAUAAUCAAUUGGUAAUUUUUUGUCAUAAUUUCUCAGACUUUCCUCUUUUCAUGAAAGUUUAAAUGAUUUUGUAAUUCUCUGAUUAUUUCACAUUCUUGGGGGGUUUUGUUUUUCAGGGUUUUUUUUUUCUUCUUAUUUCCAAUUCUUUUAAACCAAAUAAGUCAGCCCUGCUCAGACAUGGGCACAUUUCGUUCUCUCUCAUAGCUCUUCAACAAGAGGGGAAAUUGCUGAAUUUAACUAAUAAUAAUUACCUCUACAUUCCAGGGAAUGCUGUUUCCUUUCAUUUUAAAUCCGCCAAAUCCUUGGCCUCACUAUCAAUGCAGUACUGAGAUGCCAACUCAAUCAUAAACUCAGAAUUAUUCAAGCAUGGCUUUAGCUUAAUUGCAAAUCAUACAUUUUCAAAUUGUAAUCUAAUUGGACAGCCACUAACUAUCCAAAAAUAUUAGAUUAAUUAUUCCGUGAUUGUUGCUUUUCUUAAAAAAAGGAUCAUUUUUUUCCUCACAGUUCUGAUUACCUACCUGUUUAGUGAGUAGUAUAAUUGAUUAGUGAUUUCCUAACUCCCCAUUUAGGUUCACUUUUGGGACAGUCUAUUUUCAAAUAGUUCAGAGAAGGUCCAAACUGGAAAAAGAAGGGUUUUAGAAAGACCUGUUUAAGCCCAUUUAACAAAUGAGGAAAUUAAGUUCGAGAAACAAAAUUAACUAUCAAAAGUCACAAAUCAGUAAAGGGUACUGUUAGACUAAAGUUCAUCUCUCUUGGUCUACACUUUUAAUAAUCAUCGUGUUUUCUUUGUUUGUUUUGCAAUACUAGGGAUUGAACCCAAAGCCUGCCUCAUGCAUGCUGGGCAAGUACUUCACCUCCAAGCCAAUCCAUUGCAAAUUUUUAAGGCACUUCAGAAACAUGGGUACUGAGGAAGCAGGGAAUACCAACACAGUUUGGUCCUUCUAUCUUCUCUGAUGUGUUCUUCCAUAUGGCUCAUGUCAGAAGAACUGAGACAGUUGGAAAAUAGAGAAUAUUGAAUGUAGUUUUUUGUAAAGUGCAAUAUACAUUUAUUAAGCAUUCAAUAAAUGUUACAUAAAUGACUUAUUUUAUACUUACAGGAAAUUAAGGCCAAAUACCCUUUCAAUCAUUGUGGCAAUAUUGUUUUAAAACUGAAUGUUUGAUAGUUUUAAGUGAUCAGAUUUCCUGAAAGAAUCCAAUGUCCAUAUCAUAUGUUUAUUUUUAAUAAUCCAGCAUUUUGUCAUUGAAACUUCUCGUGAUUUUCUGCUAUCCAAAUCAAAUACAAAAAGAAAAUAAAAGAUUUCUCAGGUAAGUUAUAAAGAAUAAGUUCAAGUUCUGAACUUGAUCUGAUUGGGUCUAGGAACUGACUUAAUGAAACACCAGAGGAAGAAAAAGAGGUUUUAAAAUUGAAAAAUUUCCAAGUGAGGACAGAGAAAAUAGUAUUUAUAAUUUCUAAUUUAAAAAGUUAAAGAUUAAUUUUUAAAACAAGCUAUAUAAGUGGUAGAAAUACCUGCUUAGAAGGGCAUGGUCAUUGGUUCAAUCCUCAGUACCCCCCAACACCCUCCAAAAAUGUAACGUGGAAUUCCAGUGCUGGCCAAGAUGGAGUAAACCUCCUAUGAUUUGUCUCUUACUAUUAUAACUAAAAUGUAGACAGACUAAAAAAGGUGACCACCUGAGGACUCUGAAAAGCAAACAACAAAAGGCAAUUAAACAAGGAAGCCGCAACCUGAAACACAGGCCUCCAGCACAAUGGUGAGUUUCCAAUAUUUCUCCCCCUUUUAUGGCAGCUUUGACUUGAGGGUGAGCCAAGAAGUCUGGGAACAGUGCAGUAGGUGUGAACAAGGAACUUAACUGCUCUUUCUAGCCAAAGGAAUGGGUGGAGGGUGGGCAGAUCUAGCUGGAGAGUAUAGAGGAUUCCCCUCUGUAAUGAAUUGAAUGUCUGGGUUCUCCCAAAUUCAUAUCCUGAAAUCCUAACCCCCACAUUAGGAGGCAGGUAUUAGAUCAUGAGGGCAAAGCCCUCAUGAUUGGGAUUAGUGUCCUUGUAAAACAAGCCCCAGAGAGUUGAUCCUUCCACUAUGGGAGGAUGCAAUGAGAAAUCUAUAUUCUGCAACUCCAAAGAGGACCCUCAUCAGAAACCAACUAUGUUGACAUCCUGAUCUUAAACUUCCAGUUUUCAGAACUGUGAGAAAUAAAGUUUUAUUGUUUUUAAGCCAUUUAGAAAUUAUUAUUCCUUAUAACAAGAUAAGAUAUUCUUGUCUCCCCUGUUUUUCUCACUGUCUCAAAGCCAACCCAAACAGUGCAUUUGAAAAUGCACAAUGAAGCUAAGCAAAAAACUUGAGGAUCCAACUAUGAUCUGCUCUUUACUGUCCAGGUCCCAAUCAGACUUCUCAGUGGUUCAUGCACAUGGGCUUUGAAUGUGGGAAUCACCACCCACAAAUAAUAAAACAAACUCACUAAAUGAUUCUGUGUCCAUCACCUGAUUUCAAGAUUUACUAUAAAGUUACAGAAGUCAAGAUAGUGUGAUAUUAGCAAAAUGUAGACCCAUGGAACAGAACAAAGAGCUCAUAAAUAGA